rnacentral:rRNA from 1 species
GAUGAACGCUGACAGAAUGCUUAACACAUGCAAGUCGAUGGGGAAGUGGUGCUUGCACCCUGGUAACCAUGGCGGACGGGUGAGUAACGCGUAAGGAACUUGCCUGCGGGACUGGGAUAACAGCAGGAAACUGCUGAUAAUACCGGAUAAGGUCAUUAAGCUGCAUAGCUUAGUGAUGAAAGGAGACGCCUGCGGAGAGCCUUGCGUCCUAUUAGCUAGUUGGAGGGGUAACGGCCCACCAAGGCGAAGAUAGGUAGCCGGCCUGAGAGGGUGGACGGCCACAAGGGGACUGAGAUACGGCCCUUACUCCUACGGGAGGCAGCAGUGGGGAAUAUUGGACAAUGGGGGCAACCCUGAUCCAGCAAUUCUGUGUGCACGAAGACGGCUUUCGGAUUGUAAAGUGCUUUCAGCAGGGAAGAAGGAAGUGACGGUACCUGCAGAAGAAGCGACGGCUAAAUACGUG